rnacentral:rRNA from 1 species
AGAGUUUGAUCAUGGCUCAGAACGAACGCUGGCGGCAUGCCUAACACAUGCAAGUCGAACGAGACCUUCGGGUCUAGUGGCGCACGGGUGCGUAACGCGUGGGAAUCUGCCCAAAGGUUCGGAAUAACUCGGGGAAACCCGUGCUAAUACCGGAUAAUGUCUUCGGACCAAAGAUUUAUUGCCUUUGGAUGAGCCCGCGUCGGAUUAGCUAGUUGGUGAGGUAAAAGCUCACCAAGGCGACGAUCCGUAGCUGGUCUGAGAGGAUGAUCAGCCACACUGGGACUGAGACACGGCCCAGACUCCUACGGGAGGCAGCAGUGGGGAAUAUUGGACAAUGGGCGAAAGCCUGAUCCAGCAAUGCCGCGUGAGUGAUGAAGGCCUUAGGGUUGUAAAGCUCUUUUACCCGGGAUGAUAAUGACAGUACCGGGAGAAUAAGCUCCGGCUAACUCCGUGCCAGCAGCCGCGGUAAUACGGAGGGAGCUAGCGUUGUUCGGAAUUACUGGGCGUAAAGCGCGCGUAGGCGGCUUUGUAAGUUAGAGGUGAAAGCCCGGGGCUCAACUCCGGAACUGCCUUUAAGACUGCAUCGCUUGAAUCCAGGAGAGGUGAGUGGAAUUCCGAGUGUAGAGGUGAAAUUCGUAGAUAUUCGGAAGAACACCAGUGGCGAAGGCGGCUCACUGGACUGGUAUUGACGCUGAGGUGCGAAAGCGUGGGACAAACAGGAUUAGAUACCCUAGUAGUCC